CGGGACGAUAGCGCCGGACAGCCAAUCGACGCGGGGAGCCGCCGGGAGCGCAGGGUUCGGCGCGGCCGUGGCGCCGGGCCCAGCAUGCUUCGCGGCGGUGCGCGCGCGGUGCUGUCGACGCGCAUGCGCAGCGGCGCCUUUCCCUCCCUGCCGGUCUCGUCGCGGUGUGUAGGCGGGGCUGUGGCGGCCAUGGUGGGGGCGCGGCUGGCGGCGGUGGAAGGGCUUGUGCGGGAGCUGCUGAAGGAGGAGGCUCCGUCCCGCAUCGCCGCCCUCACCGAGGAGCUCUUCCAGGCGGCGGGGAGCAUCUCUGAGGACGAUGGGAGCGCGGCUGAGGUAGAGCGCCAGCCUCCCGGCCCGGCGCCCGUCUCCAGCCCGUCUGAAGAAACGGGGCUUUCGUGUGCUGCACUCCACAGGGCCGCGCUCGCCCAGGUUGAAGAGGGUGCAGUAAGCCUGUGGAACUGGGCUGUGACCAAACACACAGGUUCCGUUGUCAAUGAUGAGCAAAGAGCUAAACUACGGUUUGUUGCUUGCAGACUGGUGUGCCUUUGUGAAGGCAGUGAUCCUUCGGAGGGAACUAUUCGAAGACAGAUUUUGAUGUCUAUGAAAACUGGGAAAGGAUGGAUAGAUAUUGGAAAAGCUGAUCUUGCUGAUGGAUUUCUAGAGAUUGCCAUGAGUAGUAUAGAAAAACUGUAUGCGAAGUUACUUAAAGGGAGCGAUGGUGAAGCAGAUAUCCAUGUGCACAAAGCUGAUGUGGAGAAGAACCUCUUCAAAGUACUCUCUUAUCAGGCUGAAUCAGCAGUUGCUCAAGGGGAUUUUCAGAAAGCAGUGAUGUGUGUGCAGCGCUGCAAAGAUAUGUUGAUGAAAUUGCCAAAAGAGACCUGUUACCUGUCAAUCCUCUGUUACAAUUUUGGAGUGGAAACCUAUGAAUGGAAGAGGUAUGAACAGAGCUCCUUCUGGCUCAGCCAGAGUUAUGACAUUGGGAAGAUGGAUAUGAAAUAUUCUGUUGGCAAAGAAAUGCAGGCUAAAGUGCUGCGAUUGUUAGCUACAGCCUAUUUUGAGUGGGAUUGCAAUCUGUAUCUUGACAAGGCAUUGAAAGCUGUAAGCUUGGCAAAUCAGGAGAAUUUGCAUCCAGCAGGGGUUUUUUUGAAAGUUAAAAUUCUUCUUAAAAGUGGAGCAUCAGAUGAAGAUAUCAACUCAGCUGUUGCAGAAUUCCUGCACCAUGAGAUGUCUUUAGACCUUUGUUUGAAUACUGCCAAACUGCUGCUGGAGCAUGGAAGGGAAUCAGUUGGUUUUGAUUUUCUGAAAUCUGUUCCUGAACGAUUUGAAUCUUCACCUGACCUUGGAAAAAUUGCCCUGCUCCACAUUGAGUUCCUGUUGCAGAAUAAGAGGGAGCUGCUUGCUAAGCAAAAGGUUGAAGAAAUUAUUAUAGGACAUUAUACUGGGAAGCAGCUGUUGCCUGAAGCCUUGAACCGUCUGCACAUCAUCUUGUGGGACAGAGCUGCCAAACAUUAUGAGGCAAAAAGCUAUUCUGAAGCUCUUCAUUGGUACAAUUAUUCUGUCAGUUUCUAUACACCUGGACAGAUAGAUCAGAACUUGGCUAAGCUGCAGAGGAACAUGGCUUCUUGCUAUCUUCAUCUGAAACAAGUUGACAAGGCUAAAGAGGCAGUUAAAGAAGCAGAGAGGUGUGAUCCAAACAGCAUCUUUACUAAAUUCUGUGUCUAUAAGAUUGCAGUGAUGGAGAAAAAUACUGAUAAAGCUGUGGAAGCAGUUAUUGAAAUGGGGAAGCUAGCAGAAAAGUUAUCUCAACAUGAAGACAAGCUGAGAGUGGAUGAAAAUACAGGCACUAACCUCCUGAGUUUAGCUGCCCAAAUUGCUUUAGAGAAUGAACAACAAGUUGUGGCUAUCAAAGCUUUGGAGUAUUUGUCUGAACAUUUACAAGACUGCCGACAAUUAUUUGCAGCUUUAAAAUGUUUGGUUCGUCUUACGUUGUCAAAGUUCAUGGCAGAAAAUGAAGAGAAAAGAGAUGAAGAUAUCAACUCAGUGCUGACUUACUUGACCUUGGCUCACAAGAGACUUGCUGAGUCUUUCACAGAAGAGAAAUUUACAGGGGACAUGAGGAUCCUUGAAGCUCACUGGUUUAGAAAAGUUGCUUGGAACUUAGCUGUACAGUUCAGGGGCUGCCCUGAAAAGAUGAGGGAUUUUUUUCUACUGUCUUUCAAGUUGUCCCAGUUUUGUCCUUCUGACAAAGCUGUUCUAAUUGCUCAGAAGACAUGCCUGUUAAUGGCAGCUGCAGUUGAUCUGGAAAUGGGGAGACAACAAGUAACACCUUCUGAACAGGAGAUUUUGCUAAAGACCCAACGGACACAUUGUUGCUGCUUUAUGAAUUUGAAGCAAGAUCCAAACUGAAUGAUCCAACACUUCACAACCUUAUGGAGUCAGUAUGGGAGCAACCACAAACAGAGGUCAAGACGCUAGAAAUCAUUGCAUCAUUAGCAAUGGAAUCUCCAGCUCGGUAUCCUGUACUGUGUAAGAAAGCUCUCAAGAGUGCACUAAAUCUUCACAGAAAGCAGCCUGUCAUUGAUGCUGUGAAAUUUAGGUUAGUGUUAUCACAUAGCUUUGCCAUGAGCCUGUGACUGGAAAUGCUGACAGAGAAUAAAGCCUGCAAUUUGAAAAAAGUGGAUUUUAGUUUAUGUGCAAGGUUCCACUUCUUGUUGGCUAACCAAUGUGCCUCUUAAGUAUGACUGUCUAAUGGUUGUGUUAACUGCAAUUUGUUUACCUGGCAUAUUUUCUGAAACAGUCAUGUUUCCAAUAAAUGAAUCAAUUGAGGAAGAAAAAUGAAAAUUGGAUCCAGAAGAGGUCUGUGGCUGUUUCUUGUGAGGAAGGUGUUCAUUUCAAGUGUUAGCCUGCAGUAGUGAACUAGGUAUUUCAAAGACAAUGAAGAGAAAUUAAGGGCUGAGAAGAAAGCCAUGAGUUGUAGUUAGUGAUAUGAUGCCAUAGUACAUACAUGAUUUAUUUUGCUGGGUGACUGGCUCUCUAACAGCUGUACCGUAUGGAAUCUGAAAAACAACCUGGUGUGUGUCCUUUCUCAUUUGUAUCCCAUGAAGGAUUUUUUUUCCUCCUUUUGAAGUUCCUUGCAGUAGCCACUGGGCAAAGGCAACUGUUAAUACUGCCUUUCUCACUUCACACUGAGAAAGACAGACCUGUUUUCAGAAACCAUGUAUUUGUUACUGGUUUUCUGUGGAUGCUGACUACUUAGUUCUUGUUGGUGAAGUUAGAAAAGGUACUUUUUCCUCGCUGUCAUGUGUACCACCUUAGAAAAUAUUAUGUCUUUCCUUCUGUGUUACUUUAGAGCCCAGCAAUGAAAAUAAUGAAAUACUUGCUGCUCUUGGCUCUCUUUUUGCAUAGUUUGUAUGAAUGAGAUCUGAUACUAGGAAAAGAUAUGUUUCUGCUGUAAGAAUGUGAGUGUAGUAAGCACCAAGGUGGACAUGUCUGUCUGACAAUCAUAGAGACGUAAGUUAGUGUGCUCCUGGUACUAAAAAGAAGCUGUUUGUGCACUUGGUAUUUAUUGUUUCCUCUCUUGCUCUGUUUCAAUUCUCAGCAAAUGCCUACAUAGUUUGAUUAAUCUUUCUUUGCCGGCUGGAUUGACAGACUUGGAUGCCUGUGUACUGCAGGAAGUGUGGCACUACUUUGAAGAUGCUCUGAGUGUAGUUAGCAGCACAGUAAGUUGAACAGGAAAACAAGGGAUUGGGAGAUGAUCCUGAGCACAUUUUAAAAAAAUUCUCUCCAGAAUGAGAAUCAUUAGUAGACUGAACAUUACAUAGUGUUAUAUAUGGAGCAGCUAAGACUUCUUCAGUAAAAGAUACACUGAAAUUACCUCAAAAGAAAUGCCUCUUGGAUACUUAUGACUGAAUUAUGAAUUUCCCUGGAUUUUGUCAGGGCUUUUUUAGAGACAUCUAAGGCCAAAUUUACAGUGCCUAUUUUAGAAACAUCUUGAGCUAGAACAUCCAUCUUUCCUCCUCUUGCUUUCUACAUUCUUAUGCUGAAUAUAGUUUUUUAAAUGCAGAUUACUUUUCCAGAUCAGUUUCAAGCCAGCUAAAAUUUGGAUACUGGUCCUGCUUUUUUCUCAGCUCUGUUUUGUUAAAUGUAUUUGGGAACUUACUACGUUACUAUUUUUUCUAAAUGACCUAGAACUAGAUUCGUGUGCUGUCAGUACUUGUGGCACCAUGUGCCUUGUUUCUGUAAGGACAGGUAUAUGGAGAGUAAAAUCUUUCAGUAAGCAUUUCUGCUGCUCCUUUCAGGCCUGAAGCAUAAUGCUGUACAGUGAAGGCAGUUGUACUGAGGAAGUCAGACAUUUCUACUUAGAAUUUCAUAGCUAAAACUCAGUUAAGGAGCAUUCCUGUUCAGGAUUAAUGAAACCAAUACUAUGUUUCAUAGCUUCAUUCUGUUGCAUGACUGCUUCUUUAGUCAGGUUUGAAUGUCUCUUCUUUUAUAGAAGUGGCAUAAAUAUAUGCUGUUCCUGACUUCCCAAAAAACCAAUGUGUCCACAUUUGUGCCUGCCUUUCACCAAAGUUCUCAUCUAUAACUUUGAUAAUGUUCUUGUUGAGGGAUAUGAAUGAAGUGUUAAUGUGGACUGAUAUUCAUAACAGCAAAAUUUCACAGUACUAGAAGGCCUUCUUUUGCAGUCUUGCUCAUGGCAGCAGGUACUAAUUGGUACCAUGCUAGGAGGUGGACACUGGGACAUUACAUCAGUUCAUUAUCAGUUAGAAAGUUGGUACACCACUCAUGAUUUAUACCUCCUAUUCAGAAAUGGAUGUUGCAGUUCAAAAAUUCACUCUGGGCCCUCUUACUUAGGAUGAGAAGUAUCUAUCAAAGAGGGAAAAGAAGUCCUUCCAGCCUCCCCUUAAGGAUUUGCAUGGCAAAUAAUUGCUUCUCCUUCCCUUCCCCAACUGAAUCAGUUCCCCACCAGGUUCAAAGUAUUGUUGGGUACUGUGGCUUCUGUUCUGCAGUUAUAAGGGCAGCUUUCACUCUGGCAAGCUAUUGCCACAGUGCAUAGAGAAAUUCUGAAGACGUAAGAACUGCUGCUUCUCAUCUGUAGUGAGCAACUAUGUCCUGCCAUUCAGUACUGUUUGGAUAAACUGGAAAGUACUGCGGCAGCAAGCUUAGCCUGUCUGCAGACAGGCUGUUGGAAAGCAUAAUUCCAUUCUAGUAUCAUUCCCAGUCCCACAGAGUUGUAUUUUCUGACCUACCAAUAGGUAAUUGCAACAUGACUGACCUGUGUUAGAAACAAGCUGUUUGAGAGUAGUGCAGGUGAGCUGUGAAGUACAGGAUGGCUCUGAAGGAAUUGCCCUUUGCUUAGGAGGAAAAAAAAACCCCAAAACCCAACUGUUUUCCCACUUGAAAACUGAACUCUGAUGCACUCUUCACUUGUCAGGUUUGAAGUAAGAGUAUUUUCUGAUGAGCUGCUGCUUCUUUGCUACUCCAGGAUGCUUACCCAGAGACGGAGAUCCUUUGGUUGAUGACAAGAGCCUGGAAUACAGGAAUAUUUCAGUAUACUGUUGGUAAAUAUAAGGAAGCUGAGCAGUGGUGUGGAUUAGGAAUGCGUUUGCUCAAUCACUUAGGGUCUCUGAAGAAAAGCUACGAAGGCCACGUAAGUGUAAGCAGGUGGAUUUGAGGAUGGGGGAUUGGAUGUCUGGCCUGAAUUUGAGAUAUGGAUCUGGGUGAAGAAACCACUACAGAUGAUCUUUAAAGAGUUUCAGGAGAAGCAUGGUACCUAAAUAUUUUGGGAGAGCUUGAUGCCAAAAGAUUUUUUCAAAAUGAGGCCAGAAGAGUUUUGAUAGACAAUAGAAAAAGUAAUGUAGUGUCCUUUUACUGGAAGGAUCAUUUAAAUGGCUGACUGGAAAUAAACUUCUGACUAUUUGUGGCCAUGGGAGAACCCUUGUACCUUGCCUGCUUUCACUAAAGUUAAAGUGCUGUUCCAGUUUACUUAAAUCAGCUGUUGUACGAAUACUUUCAGGCUUGGUUUCUGGUAUAAUCUAGUGUCUUAUGAAUAGGGUUUAAGCUGAUGUGAAUAAAAUUAUUAAAGCUCAUCUUUUCAGGUGUAGCUUAGCCACUUCCUGUGAGGGAGAAAUUUCAGGGCUAGUACCUCUGCAGAAAGCAUUGACACUUAUUCUGUCACAAGUAAGCUUCUCUCUAUGGUUUUUGGCUGGUGCUCCUACCUUGAUUGCAACACAGUGCAGCCUGGCUGGUGUAUGUGGUCAUCAAUCAUUGUCUUAUGCACAAGCUGGGCAAUCAAGAGCUGGUUGCAGCUUUUAUACCAUUUUAAGUACAUCAGUUAGGACAAUAAGAAUUGAGAUCACUCCCUUCCAACCUCAGCCAUUCUGUGAUUCUGUGAAUAGGUUUAUUCACUGAUAUAAGACUCGGCUGUAAACUAUGCUUUAUGUCAGUAUAAAUAAAACCACCUUUGUUAGGUUGCACUGAUUUAACUAUUUUUUCUUAAACCACUGUAUUUAAAUCUGUGCCAAAAUCUUUACAUCAAUCUGAAAUUUUAGGUUUAGAAGCUGGUGAUAGUCUCCCACCUAUUCCUUUGCUUCUGUUCCCUGUCACUUUGUUGUAUUGUCUAGUUGAAUGAUACAACUUUAUCCAUCCUUGUUGACGACUAUGGUGCUUAUAUUCUCCAGAUGAUUGGUCUUUAUAGUGAGGUUCUGGACAAAUUGGACAGAGCAAAAUGGUUUCUUCCAAAUGAAGAAGAAUAAUGACAGCCACAACUGCAAAAAAGGAGGACAGCAGUUUCUCUUGAAAACGUUCUGCUGAAUGAAAGAGGCUGUUAGCUCUGUGAAGGCAUGGGGUCAUGGGAGCAGUGGAGAAGAAACCAGGAUCUCCUUCUUGUUGGCAAUUAAGUAAGUUAUGUACUUUUUAGGAGGUGUUUGUUGAAUAAAUUGUUUUCCUCUAGAGAAUAAUUUUCAUUCUCUGGAGCUAUAUAGCAGUUAGAAAUAAAUACUUAACUUUUUCAUGA